UACACUCCUACGGGAGGUAGCAGUGGGGAAUAUUGCACAAUGGGCGCAAGCCUGAUGCAGCCAUGCCGCGUGUAUGAAGAAGGCCUUCGGGUUGUAAAGUACUUUCAGCGGGGAGGAAGGCGAUAAGGUUAAUAACCUUGUUGAUUGACGUUACCCGCAGAAGAAGCACCGGCUAACUCCGUGCCAGCAGCCGCGGUAAUACGGAGGGUGCAAGCGUUAAUCGGAAUUACUGGGCGUAAAGCGCACGCAGGCGGUCUGUCAAGUCGGAUGUGAAAUCCCCGGGCUCAACCUGGGAACUGCAUUCGAAACUGGCAGGCUAGAGUCUUGUAGAGGGGGGUAGAAUUCCAGGUGUAGCGGUGAAAUGCGUAGAGAUCUGGAGGAAUACCGGUGGCGAAGGCGGCCCCCUGGACAAAGACUGACGCUCAGGUGCGAAAGCGUGGGGAGCAAACAGGAUUAGAUACCCUAGUAGUCCCAUGAU
rnacentral:rRNA from 1 species